GUGCUGGUUAGGAUUUUGUGGAACAA
rnacentral:piRNA from 1 species